UAGGGAAUCUUCGGCAAUGGGGGGAACCCUGACCGAGCAACGCCGCGUGAGUGAAGAAGGUUUUCGGAUCGUAAAACUCUGUUGUUAGAGAAGAACAGCGCAUAGAGUAACUGUUAUGCGUGUGACGGUAUCUAACCAGAAAGCCACGGCUAACUACGUGCCAGCAGCCGCGGUAAUACGUAGGUGGCAAGCGUUGUCCGGAUUUAUUGGGCGUAAAGCGAGCGCAGGCGGUCAAUUAAGUCUGAUGUGAAAGCCCCCGGCUCAACCGGGGAGGGUCAUUGGAAACUGGUUGACUUGAGUGCAGAAGAGGAGAGUGGAAUUCCAUGUGUAGCGGUGAAAUGCGUAGAUAUAUGGAGGAACACCAGUGGCGAAGGCGACUCUCUGGUCUGUAACUGACGCUGAGGUUCGAAAGCGUAGGUAGCAAACAGG
rnacentral:rRNA from 1 species